UACAGAGGCGGCAAGCGUUGUUCGGAAUUACUGGGCGUAAAGGGCGCGUAGGCGGUCCCGUCAGUCCCUUGUGAAAUCCCCCGGCUCAACUGGGGAACUGCAAGGGAUACAGCGGGGCUUGAGUUCGGGAGAGGGAAGCGGAAUUCCGGGUGUAGCGGUGAAAUGCGUAGAUAUCCGGAGGAACACCGGUGGCGAAGGCGGCUUCCUGGACCGAUACUGACGCUGAGGCGCGAAAGCUAGGGGAGCAAACGGG
rnacentral:rRNA from 1 species